UACACAUUACAUUCGGUGCCUCCUCUUC
rnacentral:piRNA from 1 species